AGUAGGAAUUGGGGCACAGUGGUAACCCACGUUGCUUGAACCUAAAGUACAGAUUCCAAGUUUUUGCUGUCGUAGAGUUCUAUAUUCUAGUUACAGAAUGCUUACAAAUUCACUGUUUUCAUAUUUUAUUUCAGAUUUCAUCUCCACAGGCUCUGUUAUGGUCUCCCACAGUAGGAUGCUAGGGGGAGGUUAAUUAUAGUUCUGUGCUUAAGAGAAUGUCUGUUCUAUACCCUGGGACCUAAGCUGAUGAAGAAGCCUCAUUACGAGCAUUGCUUGUCUCAUGCCAAAUGGAAAGGAGAACAUGCUUCUAGAUAUACCACAUAUCUCUGGGCAGCACUUUGAUCUACUAUCAUGACCGUUGUCUCUCUGGUAGAGGUACAGUAUGACUCUUCUGCCUGUGGAGAUGUUUAGUGCAACUGCAAGCAAAAUAUUGCAAAUGGAUGAAAUAUUCUUCAUGAAGUCAACCUCAUGCUGGACUGUCUACCACAUGCGCACACAAUAAUGUUUGUUAAAUUGAAUAGAAUUGACAGUCAUAAAUACGAAAUAAAUUGGGCAUUUCUCAUGCUAGAGACGAAGCCUCUACCCCGAGGAACGUGAACUUUCUUCAAAUUUAGAAAUAAAUAGAAUAUUUUGUUACUUUUACUCAUGGUGAAAUCACUGCCCUUAAGAGGAUUUUUUUUACCUUAAUGGUGCUACUUAUUUAAUAUGUAGUUCCUUCCUUUAAAAAAGAGAAAUAAGAUACAAAGAUGACUGGUAGAGGAUGGUUUCCUCCACUGCCAUACAUCAAUUAUGAAUGAAAAGUUUUGGGGGGUUAAAUGAUCUUAGUUUCUUAGCUCAGGUGCUUCUUAUACAAAAGGAAUUUCCAAUAAAAAUAUAAUUCCUUUUUGUAAUAAACAGUACAGCUUCCUAUGUUUG